UGUGCCUACGGGACGCAGCAGUGGGGAAUAUUGGACAAUGGGGGGAGCCCUGAUCCAGCGACGCCGCGUGAGUGAAGAAGUAUUUCGGUAUGUAAAGCUCUAUCAGCAGGGAAGAAAGAAAUGACGGUACCUGACUAAGAAGCCCCGGCUAACUACGUGCCAGCAGCCGCGGUAAUACGUAGGGGGCAAGCGUUAUCCGGAUUUACUGGGUGUAAGGGAGCGUAGACGGCGAUGCAAGUCUGAAGUGAAAGGCGGGGGCCCAACCCCCGGACUGCUUUUGGAACUGUAUAGCUGGAGUGCAGUAG
rnacentral:rRNA from 1 species